AACAAACGCUGGCGGCGUGCCUAAUACAUGCAAGUCGAACGGGGAAAGCUUUCGGGUGAGUACUAGUGGCGCACGGGUGAGUAACGCGUGGAUAAUCUGCCCUCGAAUGGGGAAUAACUAGUCGAAAGAUUAGCUAAUACCGCAUAAGACCACGACUACUGAGGUAGUUGGGGUCAAAGGAGCAAUUCGUUUGAGGAUGAGUCCGCGUAAGAUUAGCUAGUUGGUGAGGUAAUGGCUCACCAAGGCGAUGAUCUUUAACUGGUCUGAGAGGAUGAUCAGUCACACUGGAACUGAGACACGGUCCAGACUCCUACGGUAGGCAGCAUUAGGGAAUAUUGGACAAUGGGGGCAACCCUGAUCCAGCGACGCCGCGUGAGCGAUGAAGGCCUUCGGGUCGUAAAGCUCUGUUGUAAGGGAAAAAGUUCUGAUUGUACCUUACGAGAAAGGAUCGGCUAACUUCGUGCCAGCCGCCGCGGUAA
rnacentral:rRNA from 1 species